rnacentral:rRNA from 1 species
GAUGAACGCUGGCGGCGUGCCUAAUACAUGCAAGUCGAGCGAACAGAUGAGGAGCUUGCUCCUCUGACGUUAGCGGCGGACGGGUGAGUAACACGUGGAUAACCUACCUAUAAGACUGGGAUAACUUCGGGAAACCGGAGCUAAUACCGGAUAAUAUAUUGAACCGCAUGGUUCAAUAGUGAAAGACGGUUUUGCUGUCACUUAUAGAUGGAUCCGCGCCGCAUUAGCUAGUUGGUAAGGUAACGGCUUACCAAGGCAACGAUGCGUAGCCGACCUGAGAGGGUGGUCGGCCGCACUGGAACUGAGACACGGUCCAGACUCCUACGGGAGGCAGCAGUAGGGAAUCUUCCGCAAUGGGCGAAAGCCUGACGGAGCAACGCCGCGUGAGUUAUGAAGGUCUUCGGAUCGUAAAACUCUGUUAUUAGGGAAGAACAAAUGUGUAAGUAACUAUGCACGUCUUGACGGUACCUAGUCAGAAAGCCACGGCUAACUACGUG